UAAUUGCUAUCCACCAUUCUUUUCCAGAACCAGUUUGAGCUGGCACCUGAAAGGUAGCUGGAAUUGUGGAGACAAGAAGAGCUAACAGAAAAUGGAUGAAGUAAUGAUGAAAGAUUUGGUGUUGUCAUUCUUACCGGGCCUCUCCGUUGAAACUCUGACUUCACUACUGAGUUUGUUGCAAGAAAUUGGUGUGGAAAACAAGGAAGAUCUUGCUUUUGUACAAGAAAAAGAUCUAAAGAAAUACCUUCGACCUAUUCAGUGUCGGAAGUUACUAAAUGGCUUUCAAGGAUUUGCAGUAGUUCAACUGGAAAUGAUUCCUGUGCCCUCUACAUCUUUUGACCCUAGUUUCUUUAAAGCUCCUCCCACUGUACCUCCCAGCAUAGUUUCACCUCCCUCCUUGCAGAUUGGCAGACCAUGGCAUGCAGAAUUUCAAGUGAAUUGGGAUAGGAUGCCAGCCGCAAUUCGCAAAGCAAUUGCAGAAAAAGCAAGACCAAUUCCUGGCGAAAGAAAAGAUAUGGUGAAGGCAU